AUGGAGUCUCCUAAACGUUCCACUGAACGCACUCCCUUUAAAGACCUGUCCAACUCCGUCAACGCAAGUGUUGUCGACAUUAGUAAUGGAGGGCAACCUACAGAUAUGAAAGAACGCAAGAGGCAAUGUGCUAGGGAGCGAUAUGCGCAAAUGGAUAAACAGAAAAAAGAUGAAUUACUACGGAAGCACCGUGAAGCCUAUCAACAAAAAAGAGCUCGACCAUUAGUUAGUUCUGAAGAGGCGAAAGUGGGGGCAAGUCCAUCUGUGCUCUCCCAAGUGCAGAUAACGACAAUUGGUCAAGGGGACAUUGCAUUGAACAAGGAAAAUGUGGUGCCUAAUGAAGAUAGUGAGUGGUUAAAUAGAAAUGACACAUACCAAAGAGCAUCAAUUGAUUUGCCAUCCCAGGGGCAAGAAAACCUCAUGGCUGAUAUUAUUGCCAUCAACAAUUGCAGUAAUGAUGGGCCAACAUCAUCGAUGAUUCAACCACAACCCAUAGAUUCCAAAGAGCGGAAGAGGCUACGGGAUAGGGAACGAUAUGCAUUGAUGGAUUGCAAGAAAAAAGGUGAACUUCUAAAAAGACAGCGUGAAGCAAGGAAAUCAUCGUCAGAGAAACUUGAAUCAAUACGUGCGAAGGAUAGGGCAAGUUAUGCCAAUAUGACUCCCAAUCAAAAGCACACAAAGAUGGCAUUGCGUGCGUCAGUGCGCAAUACUCUGAGCAAGGAUUCCAUAGCCAUGGAGAACCCAUUGUAUAUCCCUAAGAUUGUUCGUGAUGGCUCCAUACCCACAUGUGAUUGGUCUAUUCCUAAAGUCAGCGGAACCCUUGUUUAUAUUCAGUCUACUUCGGAGCAGAUGGCAGAUGGGGAGACCCAUGAUAUGGAUGUGAGUGAAAUAUCACGGAGAAAACAUAUAACACAUGGAGAACGACACACAUUGAUGUGUCGUCGAAACGAAGCAUUCUAUGAAAGUACUAAGAAGAAUGAGACUGCAUCGAUGGAUGAAACCUCGUCGAUGAAUUUGGAAGGCGUAAAUGGUUUAGAACACCAAACCCAAUCGAUCAUUGUUAAUAAUGAAAACAUAUCUCCAACGCGCGAGACUGCCCAAAAACACCCAACACACUCACAAGGCAAUGAUUAUGGUGGUGAAGAGGGCGUCAUCUUGGAGGAAGACUCAGAAGACGAGGAAGGCUACAUGUUCGCUGGGAAUGAGGAUGACACCGAUGACGAUAUUGAAAUGGACGAGUCUGACAACGAGUCUGCCUCAGUUGCAAGCAUUCCAGAUCCCUAUGACAUGGUGUAUAGCAAGAUCCCAACAGACACACACAAGUUGAAGCCAGUGGAAGACUGCAAGCACUGCUAUGCCAAGAAGUUUGAGCGUGAGACCAUGGGGUUUUGCUGCCGUAAGGGGAAGAUCAAACUAGCCAACCCGGAUACGCCUCCUGAGCUCAUGAAGCUAUGGACGAGUGAUGACCCUGCUGCUAGGCAUUUUCGUGACAACAUCAGGUUUUUCAAUAGCCAUUUCUCAUUCACCUCACUAUAUUGUCACCUUGAUAGUGAUACCACUAACACAUUAAAGCAUCCUAUCUACACAUUCCGUGCCCAUGGCCAAAUGUACCACAAUAUACGGUCAUUUGGCAAACAAGAUGGUUUGGAUCGUAGUCAUCUGGAGCUCUACUUCUAUGAUAAUGAUCCCAGUUUAGAGCAUAGGUAUCGCAGUUGUCGCAAAGAGUAG
rnacentral:rRNA from 1 species